rnacentral:rRNA from 1 species
CCUACGGGUGGCAGCAGUAGGGAAUAUUGCACAAUGGGGGAAACCCUGAUGCAGCAACGCCGCGUGGGUGAUGAAGUAUUUCGGUUUGUAAAGUCCUUUCAUUCGGGAAGAUAAUGACGGUAUCUAACCAAUAAGCCCCGGCUAACUCCGUGCCAGCAGCCGCGGUAAUACGGAGGGGGCAAGCGUUACCCGGAUUUACUGGGUGUAAAGAGCGCGUAGACGGCAUAGCAAGUCAGAGGUGAAAUGCUAUGGCUUAACCAUAGGACUGCACUGGAAACUGCUAUGCUGGAGUAUGGGAGAGGUAGGUGGAAUUCCUGGUGUAGGGGUAAAAUGCGUAGAGAUUAGGAGGAACACUAGUGGCGAAGGCGGCCUAUUAGACCGUAACUGACGUUGAGGCUCGAAAGCGUGGGGAGCAAACAGGAUUAGAUACCCCGGUAGUC